CCAAGGAGUUUAUCGUGUGCGCAAGUCAUUGGGUGUUGAAAACUCAAAGGCGCAAUGAAAGUAAAGAAUCCGCAAGGAUACGACGUGUGAUCUGAGCAAUCACGAUUGCCUGGAGCAACAUGGCCCCAUUCUGGUCGCUUGCGACGGGGUGGAGGAAGAGCGUACGCGGUGAGACCCGAAAGAUGGUGAACUAUUCCUGAGCAGGAUGAAGCCAGAGGAAACUCUGGUGGAAGUCCGAAGCGAUUCUGACGUGCAAAUCGAUCGUCUGACUUGGGUAUAGGGGCGAAAGACUAAUCGAAC
rnacentral:rRNA from 1 species